rnacentral:misc_RNA from 1 species
UCUCCGUUGGUGAACCAGCGGAGGGAUCAUUACCGAGUUUACAACUCCCAAACCCCUAUGUGAACGUUACCAAACUGUUGCCUCGGCGGGAAAUUCAUGCCCCGGGCGCGUCGCAGCCCCGGACCAAGGCGCCCGCCGGAGGACCAACCAAAAUUCUUUUGUAUGUCCCUCGCGGACUUUUAUAAUUCUGAACCAUCUCGCCGCCCCUAGCGGGCUUUUCGACAAUGAAUCAAAACUUUCAACAACGGAUCUCUUGGUUCUG